GGGGAAUAUUGCGCAAUGGGGGGAACCCUGACGCAGCAACGCCGCGUGAGUGAAGAAGGUCUUCGGAUCGUAAAACUCUGUCAUAGGGGAAGAAGGAAGUGACGGUACCCUAUGAGGAAGCCCCGGCUAACUACGUGCCAGCAGCCGCGGUAAUACGUAGGGGGCGAGCGUUGUCCGGAAUUACUGGGCGUAAAGGGUGCGCAGGCGGCCGAUUAAGUCAGAUGUGAAAUACCAGGGCUCAACCCUGGGGGUGCAUUUGAAACUGGUUGGCUUGAGUGCAGGAGAGGAAAGCGGAAUUCCUAGUGUAGCGGUGAAAUGCGUAGAGAUUAGGAGGAACACCAGUGGCGAAGGCGGCUUUCUGGACUGUAACUGACGCUGAGGCACGAAAGCGUGGGGAGCAAAC
rnacentral:rRNA from 1 species